rnacentral:lncRNA from 1 species
AAACAGCCUUUUCCCUGCGGUGUAGCUGCACCCUUAUUCACAGUGUAAAGAUUCUCCGUCAGAGACUGCUAAUAUUGCCAACGUUCAGUCUUCGGGAGCAUUUUCCCUCCAUAGACACCAGGAAUGGCUGGACGGGACUCUCUUCCAUCUGCCAAGUUUGACAGAUUCCAAUGAAUCACAACCUUCUUGCUGCCAAUGCAUUUUCUAAUAAUAAACUCACUGACUCCAGACUGCAGAUUAAAACUGCCCACUUUGUCCUUCUCAAAACCCAUGUAGGAAGACUGUGGUUCUGCACGGCCGGCUCAUAUCUGACUUUGCAGCCCUUUGCUUCCCCUUCUUCCAUUGCUCAGAAGAAGAGAAAGAAAAAUGGGCAAAAUUCUGAUAAUAGGUUUUUUCGCUCUGCUCUGUUUCAACAUAGUGGGCGCUCUCCAAUGUCAUUACUGCCGAAAUAUCAAGAGUGAUAACACUUGUAAUCAUAAGGAAAGCACUUGCAAUACAGGAAUAAAAAAUUACUGUUACACGGAAAUAACUGCUAAAGGCUUUUCUAUAACACAUGUGCGACGAGGCUGCAGCAGCGCUUGUCAAAGCGGCAGGCACAGGACAGAUGUGUAUGAGAAAGCGAUGCUGUGUUGCAACAGAAAUCUCUGUAAUGAUCACAAAAUAUGGGACGGCAAUAAAUAAAUGCUUUUUAAAAAUCAAUAAAUAUUUACCAGGGUGGAGCA